AUUGAACGCUGGCGGCAGGCCUAACACAUGCAAGUCGAACGGUAACAGAAAGAAGCUUGCUUCUUUGCUGACGAGUGGCGGACGGGUGAGUAAUGUCUGGGAAACUGCCUGAUGGAGGGGGAUAACUACUGGAAACGGUAGCUAAUACCGCAUAACGUCGCAAGACCAAAGAGGGGGACCUUCGGGCCUCUUGCCAUCGGAUGUGCCCAGAUGGGAUUAGCUUGUUGGUGGGGUAACGGCUCACCAAGGCGACGAUCCCUAGCUGGUCUGAGAGGAUGACCAGCCACACUGGAACUGAGACACGGUCCAGACUCCUACGGGAGGCAGCAGUGGGGAAUAUUGCACAAUGGGCGCAAGCCUGAUGCAGCCAUGCCGCGUGUAUGAAGAAGGCCUUCGGGUUGUAAAGUACUUUCAGCGGGGAGGAAGGGAGUAAAGUUAAUACCUUUGCUCAUUGACGUUACCCGCAGAAGAAGCACCGGCUAACUCCGUGCCAGCAGCCGCGGUAAUACGGAGGGUGCAAGCGUUAAUCGGAAUUACUGGGCGUAAAGCGCACGCAGGCGGUUUGUUAAGUCAGAUGUGAAAUCCCCGGGCUCAACCUGGGAACUGCAUCUGAUACUGGCAAGCUUGAGUCUCGUAGAGGGGGGUAGAUUCCAGGUGUAGCGGUGAAAUGCGUAGAGAUCUGGAGGAAUACCGGUGGCGAAGGCGGCCCCCUGGACGAAGACUGACG
rnacentral:rRNA from 1 species